CGUGUAGGCGGUUGGUCAAGUCUGGUGUGAAAGCCCGGGGCUUAGCCCCGGAAGUGCGCUGGAAACUAGCCAACUUGAGCGCGAUAGAGGAGGGUGGAAUUCCUGGUGUAGCGGUGAAAUGCGUAGAUAUCAGGAGGAACACCGGCGGCGAAGGCGGCCCUCUGGGUCGUUGCUGACGCUGAGACGCGAAAGCGUGGGGAGCAAACAGGAUUAGAUACCCUGGUAGUCCACGCUGUAAACUAUGGGUACUAGGUGUUCGGGGUGUUGACCCCCUGAGUGUCGACGCUAACGCAUUAAGUACCCCGCCUGGGGACUACGGCCGCAAGGCUAAA
rnacentral:rRNA from 1 species